rnacentral:rRNA from 1 species
UACGUAGGGGGCUAGCGUUGCUCGGAAUCACUGGGCGUAAAGGGUGCGUAGGCGGGUUUUUAAGUCAGAGGUGAAAUCCUGGAGCUCAACUCCAGAACUGCCUUUGACACUGAAAGUCUUGAGUAUGGGAGAGGUGAGUGGAACUGCGAGUGUAGAGGUGAAAUUCGUAGAUAUUCGCAAGAACACCAGUGGCGAAGGCGGCUCACUGGCCCGAUACUGACGCUGAGGCACGAAAGCGUGGGGAGCAAACAGG